rnacentral:rRNA from 1 species
UACGUAGGGGGCAAGCGUUUGUCCGGAAUUAUUGGGCGUAAAGAGCGCGUAGGCGGUCCGAUAAGUCGGCUGUGAAAGUCAGGGGCUCAACCUGGGAACCGCGCUUGAGACUGGCACGCUCGAGUUCGGGAGAGGAUGGUGGAAUUCCCAGUGUAGAGGUGAAAUUCGUAGAUAUUGGGAAGAACACCGAUGGCGAAGGCAGCCAUCUGGACCGACACUGACGCUGAGGCGCGAAAGCGUGGGGAGCAAACAGG